GACGAACGCUGGCGGCGUGCUUAACACAUGCAAGUCGAACGGAAAGGCCCUGCUUUUGUGGGGUGCUCGAGUGGCGAACGGGUGAGUAACACGUGAGUAACCUGCCCUUGACUUUGGGAUAACUUCAGGAAACUGGGGCUAAUACCGGAUAGGAGCUCCUGCUGCAUGGUGGGAGUUGGAAAGUUUCGGCGGUUGGGGAUGGACUCGCGGCUUAUCAGCUUGUUGGUGGGGUAGUGGCUUACCAAGGCUUUGACGGGUAGCCGGCCUGAGAGGGUGACCGGCCACAUUGGGCCUGAGAUACGGCCCAGACUCCUACGGGAGGCAGCAGUGGGGAAUAUUGCACAAUGGGCGGAAGCCUGAUGCAGCAACGCCGCGUGCGGGAUGACGGCCUUCGGGUUGUAAACCGCUUUCGCCUGUGACGAAGCGUGAGUGACGGUAAUGGGUAAAGAAGCACCGGCUAACUACGUG
rnacentral:rRNA from 1 species